AUUGAACGCUGGCGGCAGGCCUAACACAUGCAAGUCGAGCGGAUGAAGGGAGCUUGCUCCUGGAUUCAGCGGCGGACGGGUGAGUAAUGCCCAGGAAUCUGCCUGGUAGUGGGGGAUAACGUCCGGAAACGGGCGCUAAUACCGCAUACGUCCUGAGGGAGAAAGUGGGGGAUCUUCGGACCUCACGCUAUCAGAUGAGACUAGGUCGGAUUAGCUAGUUGGUAGGGUAAAGGCCUACCAAGGCGACGACCCGUAACUGGUCUGAGAGGAUGAUCAGUCACACUGGAACUGAGACACGGUCCAGACUCCUACGGGAGGCAGCAGUGGGGAAUAUUGGACAAUGGGCGAAAGCCUGAUCCAGCCAUGCCGCGUGUGUGAAGAAGGUCUUCGGAUUGUAAAGCACUUUAAGUUGGGAGGAAGGGCAGUAAGUUAAUACCUUGCUGUUUUGACGUUACCAACAGAAUAAGCCCCGGCUAACUUCGUG
rnacentral:rRNA from 1 species